AAGUCGUAACAAGGUUUCCGUAGGUGAACCUGCGGAAGGAUCAUUCCAUAUUAUUCUUUUUCUCUAUACACGUGUACAGUGUUGUUGUGGGUUUUCAAUUUUUUUAGUGUCCAAACUAUUUAACCAACCAAAAAAAACAAAAAAACCAAGACUUUUAGCAACGGAUACCUUGGCUCCCA
rnacentral:misc_RNA from 1 species